rnacentral:lncRNA from 1 species
UUUAUUCUAAUGAAGACUCAUUGGAAGUUUGGAUUAGAAUUUGCCAGUGGGAAACAGCUAUUAACCUUGAUAUAUGUGAAUACACCCAUGUAGAGUGGUCAUGUCUUUGCAUAGAACACAUUUCUAAGGUACAAAGGGGGAGAAGGGUAGUGACUGAGGAGAAACCAUAUCCAUGCUCUAUUUACUAUAGUUGGUACAGUUGAAAGUGAAGGAGAGUGGAGAGUUGGUUCCAGAACUCAAGCAUGGGUAGAAGAUCAAAGUUAUCAGUAACAACUUAUCAAAGUUCUGCUACAAUAUCAGAAAAAAACAAAUGGCCUUGUUUAAAUUUCAACUUGCCAUAAUUGAAUAUUAAGUAAGGAGAUACUGAGUCAAUAUCUAGUAAACUUUUCUUGAAACCUCCAAGCAUACAGCAUAAAAGCAUUAACUCCAUGCUGUUUUUUGAUAUUAGCACUACUAGGUAGAUUUGUGAAAACACACAUGAUACUUUCUAUGGUAGAUUUCACUUCAUUCUUACAACUCCAAGGUAUUAAUAUUGUCUAAGAUUUCACAACUUGUACCAAGGAUCCAGGACUCUUUCUUAGCUUUGAAAAAUUCAGCAUUUCUGCUCUUUUUAUUUUACUCUAAAGUUAACAACUGUUGUAAGAUCAUUAGAAAAGUCUACCUCUCAUAAAUAGAACCAUAUAUGUGUGUAUGUACAUAAAACACCACAAACAAAAAUCUAAUAAAUCAUAAAAGUGCAAACUGCUACAGCCUCCAUACAAAAUACUUUCUUUACAAAUAUUUGAAAAUCAAGAUUACCAAUGCUGCACACAGAAGUCAAGCGAGAAAGUAAUAGAAAAUUCUCUUUUCAGAGACGCUGACUCUGAUACUUCAUGCCUCUAUAAUUUAUCCAAGAUUUAGAAACAAUGACAGCACUGGAACAAAGCUCAUCCAUUUUGGAAUACUGUAUCUCCAGCGGAACCUUCCAAUCCCCUUGACACUACCUUCAGUUUCAGAGAUGGACUUCUUUUUGUUUGUUGUUUCUCUGCUUGUCUUUCUUAUUUCCACUUGCUUUGAUGUCUCUAAUCCUACUGAUCCACACAGGUGACCAAACUUUCAUCCGUAAUCUGUAGCAUUCAAAUUAAAGGAAGGAUUUAUAGAUUCUAGGAUUUUGCGAGCACCUCAAAUAAAUCCUUCCUAGGCCCCUUAUGAAUGGGAUAAAACCAUGAGCAGAGGAUGAAGUUAAAUU